rnacentral:lncRNA from 1 species
GAAAUUUUCACCAAAAGAACCUUCAACAGUGAAAUCAACAUUCUCCUCUUCAGCACAAAAACUUCCCAAUUUUUCAACGGACGACGACGUUUUGCCAGAACAUUCUCGAAGUCUCGAAUUUCCGGCAGAGGCGUUCUCCCUGCGUGGUUGCGGCGGCGGAGGGAGUUUACGGAGGCGACGGCUGCGAAGUUGGAGAUAGGAUGAGGAGUCAUUAUUUUGCGGCGAAGAAACCGGCGAUUUCUGGAGAGCGAGGGUUUUUGCUCUUGUUCGUACACCGACGGUUGAAGCGUGAGAUGGAGAAUCCAUGAUUACGGCGGCGACGUCGCCGGCGAUUUUGGAUUUCUUCAUGUAUUUUCCCAUUGGAAAUGAAAAUUGAAAGUUGAAAGAGGAAAAAAAGAGAAGUGAUUUUGGAGGGUAUAUGGUGGGAGAGUGAGAAGAGUUUAUGGCAAAGCAGAGAGAGAGAGAGAGAGAAAGGGGGGGAAUCAAAAGUGCGGGGAAGAUUGUGACUUUUUAGGGUUGGAGGAUUUUNNNNNNNNNNNNNNNNNNNNNNNNNNNNNNAGUAGUGUCUUUUUUCUCUCUCUCUCUCUCUCUCUCUCUCUCUCCCUAUAUUUGCGAGUUUAAUUAUUGUAAAAAAAAAAACAACCGUAGCAUAAAUUAUGUUUCAAAGAGAAAAAAACUGAGCGGGUGUCGUACAUAUGCGGAACACCGAAAAUAAACACCGCCUAAACGUGGUCUACCGACUAAUUCCAUAAUUUGAAAGGCACCUCUCAGCUUCUAGGCCAUUAGUAAAGACACCAACCUGACCCAGAAAGAUGUUACUAGACACUAACUCUCGAUCUCAAAACAAAAGCGAUCUGUCUAUGAGAACCUAAAAACAACUCCAUAAGGUGCAAGGCUGAUGGUGCAAAGGAAGAAUUAGAACCUAGGCAGACAAGUCUCAACUCAAAGAAAUAGAAAACGACCCAAAGAUAAAACAGUUGACACUGACGCAACAGAGGUCUACUAGAUACCAUGAAUAUUCCUGCAUAUCUCAACAGAUUUAGAAAAACAAUAACCGAAUCAAAAAUUUAGAAAAACACCGCAUGUGCCAGCAACCAACACACCACUGACUAGCAACUACCACCAUGAGGUGGUAGCGCCAAAACCACCACAACCAAGCACCAAUAAACAAAACACGACUCAAACAAACCGAAAACACCACUAACUAGAAACAGACCACAACCCGUCGCAAAAACGAUGAGCUAAACACCAAGAAACAUAACAUAGCCUGCGAGAGGUUUUGUCGGACGCGUCGCUACCACCACCAUACGCGCCAACGCCAACACAACAUCACCUCACCACAACCACUGAAACUACCACAAAACUACCAUUGUUACAACUAGAUCCGGCAAACAAAACAUAGUCGUCAGACCCGUCACCACUACCACGUAACUGCAGCAGGAUGCNNACACCAUAAACGGUCUUGAGAGAAGAUGUAGAGGGAGAGUUUGUUGCACCAUCGUCCUGUAGAAAAAACCACCUUCAUGAAGGGUGGUCGCACUACCGCCGAUGGCAGUUAACAUACCUCGUCGGAAACACAUCCCCUGUUGGGGUUUGCGGGUGAUGCGGAGGGACGAGACACUUCUUAGCAUAAAUUAUUUUUACGAGAGCAAAUAUGCUUUAUAGUGAUAUAUGAAAAUUCUAUGAAAUCUAAGUAUCUAUUUGGAUCAAGUAGAAUUAUUAAACACAAUUGUCCACAUUAAUAAAUAGAUAAAAAUGUCGAAAUUGUUAGGCUAGAUAUUAUGAACGGAUUUCGAGCUUCAACUCUCAUUUAUGUGUGAGUUUAUAAUGAUUUUGUCAUUUCGUCUAACUAAAAAAUAAAUUCUAGCCUAUUUUCAAUCCUAGCCAAUGUAGAGAAUCUUUCUCUAUCUUUACACGGAAAUCUAAUAAAAAUUGGAAUAAAAUGGAGGUAUUGAGGUGAUUUGGUGCGGAAUACGUCAUUGUUAUGGAUGAUAGUCAGGGACGGAUGCAUGUAGGGGCUGGCUGUGGCUAUAGCCACACCAGAAUUAUUGUAUAUAUAUGUAUAACUACUAAUAUUAUCACAGUUAUUCAUUUCGCUUAGUGGUUAUGUAUCCCCUCAUUUACUCAAGGGUCCUGAGUUUAAGUCCUAUAUAGGUUGCUUUUUGGCUUUUAAUUUCUUUUUCUUACAAAGAAAUUGCUGCCUUGUUGCUAGUUAACUACAAAGAAUCAAGAAUAAUAGUUGUGGUAAUUUUUUUUUUUNNNNNNNNNNNNNNNNNNNNNNNNNNUAAAUUAUACCGGUAACAUUUUAACGAGUAUAAAAUUUACAAAAUUUAUCGUUAAUUAUACCGGUAACAUUUUUAGUCACACCAAUAUAUUAGGUCUGGAUCCGUCCCUGAUGAUAGUACUCUUUUUUUACUCCUUCCGAUCCUAAUUAUAAUUCAAAGUUUGAUAUAUCUAAAAAACAAUGUAGACUAUAUACAUCAAAUUUUCAAUGUAUCUAAAAAGUAAAUCUUUUCUUAUAAUUAGGAUCCGAGGGGAAAUAUUAUUUAGUUUCAUUUAUUAUUUUUUACAGAAUUAAAUUUUCAUUUAAUACUUUUGAUAAAGCGAUGUUUUAAAAGAAAAAAUUGAAAAUACUUUUGAUAUGUUUUAUCCUUGUAAAAAGAAGAAAUUAAUAUUUUUUUUUUGAUAUAGAGAAAUUAAUAAUUUUGAUUUGGCUUAACUACACAUUUGGUCUCUUACGUUUAUUUUAGGUUUCAAUUUGGUCUCUUACGUUUAAAAAGUAUCAAUUUGGUCCCUUACGUUUAUUUUAGGUUUCAAGUUAGUCCUUUCUGUCAAUUUUGUCACAUGUGGCAGCCAAUUUCAUAUGUGGACAGACACGUGACACUUGGACACACUGACACGUGUACUGUUCAAACGGUGUUAUUGACAAAACUAACAGAAAGGACUAACUUGAAACAUAAAAUAAACGUAAGGGACUAAAUUGAUACUUUUUAAACGUAAGGGACCAAAUUAAAACCUAAAAUAAACGUAAGGGACCAAAUGUGUAGUUAAGAUUUUGACAUGAUUUAUUAUUAUGUAUUUACAAUAGUUCGGUUUAUGAAAAAAUUCAAAUAUUUAACAUCGAGCUCAUAUACUCUAAAACGAAUAUGCUAUUAUACUCUAAACCCGAAAUGCACAAUAAUGAAUAGUGUUCAUUUUAGAGGAGUCGAAUCCAAAUAGUUCGCCCUUUUAGCUCAUUAUUGAAUAUGCUUAUUAAGGUUUCGUCAUUUUUCCCAUUCAAAUAUUAGUGAAUUUCGGUUUACCCUAUUACUGAAUAUGUCACGUCAUCAUUUGUGCAAAAUCUUGAGACAACAUAUUCAAUGAUGAGCUAAAAGAUCGAAAUCUUGACAUCACAUGGGAUUAAUAGAAAAUAUAUAUAUAGUCUAUAAAAAAAUUUCAAAAAAUUUUAGUAGUUAAUUUAAUCCUCAAAAAUUUUUCAUUUGCCAAUUUAGUCCAUAAAAUUACUAACAAAAGAGGCACUAAUGAUCUAUUUGCAAUUUUAAUAUAAUCAGGAACCAAUAUGAUAACAAAUUAUACUUUCAAGGAUUAAAAUGGUGGUUUGGCCGAUUGUUUUUUGUAUUAACCCUCUUGUUCUAGGGAGAAGGGACCCUAGUAAUUCAGAUAACGACCCACUUGAACCAAAUCAAUUUUAAAAUUAGAAGCUACAAUUUAUAACUUCAAUAAAUAUAGCCUAUCAUCGAUGAAAUUCCAAUUUAAAACGCGAAAUUUUAAUUUUUCGUAUUAUUUUGCUUGUAUGUAUCUGUUGCCUCGUUGACAUGUAGUAGCUUGUAAGUCUAAAUCUAAAUCAUUAGACACACCCAUUGUGAGCCAUAAAAGGAUAAGUUACUGCAUUGAUUAAAGAUUAAAAAUCCCUGCUAAAUUAUAGACACAAGUUAACAGCAAAAAAGAAAAGAAAAUGCUGAGAUCCAUAUACCCCCUACCCCUACAUAUAAGAAAUACAUUGAAUAACUCUAAAUUACUUAUAUUAGAAAUGUCUUCUAAACUAUGUAGAACCCUUCUCUUAUGUUGAACAAGAAGAUCUCAAGCGAUCUAAAUGGUUAGUGAAAGUUGCUAGCUCUGCUAAAUUACAAGUCUAAUAGCUCUGCUUGAAAUCCAAAUGGCUGGUUAAAGCUUGUCCUAGUUAAGUACAGGGACCCAUUCAUACCGUCCUGGUAGAGGUACAUCAUUAACUACAUCAAAAUUGUACCUGCAAAAUAUAGACAAGACACACAUUGGCAUAUUGCAUAAUGACAUCAAUAAUCAGGAGACAAAUUCAAAAAAGAUAGUAAAUCGGUAAUUUAAUCUGCAAAAUAUAGACAAGAUACACAUUGGCAUAUUGCAUAUUGAUAAUUUUUUUGGUUUUCACCCUCUGGUUCCUAGGGGAAGGGGCCCCUAGUAGUCCAGAGUUCGGGGCGAAUUCUAGCAUCAAGUGGUUCCAGUCCCCUCCCAAAUGCAGUUGCGGGGGAUCGAACCAUGGUCCUCCCUACCAAGUUCAGCGCCAAUCACCACUGAACCAACUAACAUAUGGUUAUUGCAUAUUGACAUUAAUAAUCAGGAAAGGAAACAAAUUCUAAAAAGAUAAUAAAUCAGUAAUUUAAUUUGCAAAAUAUAGACUAGAUACACAUUGGCAUAUUGCAUGAUAUUAAUAAUUAGGAAACAAAUUCAAAAAGUAAAUCAGUAAUUUAAUCUGCAAAAUAUAGACAAGAUACACAUUGGCAUAUUGCAUAUUGAUAUUAAUAAUCAGGAAACAAAUUCAAAAAGAAUAGAAAAUCAGUAGUUUAAUCUGCAAAAUAUAGCUUAAAAGGAAUAUGCUUACUUUUCCAUAAAAUUUGCUUGUUGCUGCUUCUCUGCCAAAGCAAAGAACUCAUCCAUUUCAGUAGAUGUUGGAAUAUUUCUUUGCAUGUUUUCGUGAAUUACUCGUUGCGUCCUUUGCCUUGUCGUUGAACCAGGGGUAUGAAUGACACUUGAAUCCCUUAUUAAACUACAAGGUGUGCUUUCCCUGGUGCUUCUGUUAAUCACAAAAAUAUUACUAUUAAAAUCGCUUAGCAAAAGAAUCUUAUAGAAAAAAAAAUUAAAAGAAAUUGCAGUCAUUGAAAAUGCAAAUGUUGGUUUGUUAUCAAAAGUUUCUGUAGCAGAACUGCAUGACAACUGCUGACAGAAAAAUAAAAGAAAAUAAAAAGGAUUGAUUUGCUCACACAAAAACUCUUCAAAAUGAAAUUAGACUAGAGACAAACUACUAUUCUAGAAAAGUAAGUAACUGGCAUUUAUUAGAGACAAGCCCUGACUCAGUGGGCUCAAGCAACCAAAAAAAUACAAAGAAAGAGAUGGCCAAAUCUUUCUCAUUCAUUCACUGCAUAAAAACAAAACAGGAACCCAAAACACAUGAAACCUUCACAAAUAGGCCCCAUGUAUUUGACAAACCUUUGAUAACAUGACGACUCAUGAGAGCUAUGGCUGCUGGGUAUUACUAAUGGUUAAAUUUUUCUAUCUUGACCGUUAUGGAGAACUAAAUGUGCAUUUUAAGCCUAACCAACUAGUAGGAGCCAACAUAUUCGAUCAUGAAAAACACAUAUUCAAGAAGCCAGUAAAUUGGAACUGGUUGACAAAGAUUGGACAACUCAUAUUUUACACUAGGUAAAUUUACAUUCAAUUUGAAAAGUGAACAUAGAGGAUCCAAUCUUCAUUCAAUGCUACCAACGUACUGGAUGAGUAAAUGCGUGCUUUCCUUAGCAGCAAGGAACCCAGAUCAGUAGUAAACAGGAACAAUCAAUGUUAAAUCCAUACAUUUCUAACAUGUAUUCAAGGCAUCAAAAUCUUAAGUGGGAAACAACUGGAAAUUACAAAGUGGCCUCAAAAUAUGAAUCAAUAAAGAUUGUUAAAUCGCAAAUAAUCAACAGCCAAAUAUGAAUGCAGAGAUAGCUACUGUCUUACAAUCAAAUCCCAGAACUUUUUUUCCAUUUUGUUUGAUAUGUAAUCCCUAGGCUACCCAUCAUGACCCAACAAUACUACAAUUCAUUAAUGUAACGAGAUAAUUAUAGCAAAUAAAUUUCACCAUUAAUAAAUACAGUAAUGUACUAGAAGCUGUGUAAUUGAAGAAAAACAAAGAUAUCAAUAGGAAGAGUAAAAGCAAUAGAGUUGUGACCACUGAGAGGAAAUAUAUAAUCAAAACAAGUGGCAUAUAAAAAAUUGUAAAAUCCCGUGAGGGACAUCACAUUAUAUAUGCAGGUGUUGGGGUUCGAAUCUUCGACACUCCACUUAAUCACCUUAAAGGGUGGAAUUCUAGCCGCUAUGCCACUUGACCAAAAAAAUAUUGUAAACUCCUUUUCUUUGAAAAAUUCUUAUUCUUAUAACUCAUUCCAUUGAAUAAAAAAAAAAGAGUAAUGCAAUAUAGGAUGAAUCUGUAUUUCAUGAAUGGCAAGAGUGGUGAUCUUUCUCUCAAACACACUUAAAUAGUUUUUUUUUAUAAAUAAAAUUAGUAGUACACUCUGAAAUAGUCAAACAGAAGUCUCUCGCAUACUAAGCCUUCUACUACUAUGCCCUAUUGGAGCCUCUAUAGAUUGCAUUACAUAUAUGCCAAAGUAAUUAUAAAAAAAACAAUUGCUAUACAUAUAUGCCAAAGUGACGGGAGACUAAGCAACAAAAAGGUGACUUAGUGGAGGAAAACAUGAAGGUGAGCCAAAUUAAAUCCCAUCAUCAUAUUGCAACCAAAGAUAGAUAGAAAACAAAAAUAAACAUCUCAAAUUGACAAAUUUAUAAUGAAGAAAUAGUAGUUCAUUGAGUAGAAAAAAGCUGAGUGAGAAUCCUAAUUUUUCAUCAAUUUUUACAGCAGGGAGGGAGGGAUAAUGAGUGAUAGGGGGAGAAACAAAGACAUCGACAAAGUCCCCAAGUAUAUUUGUGAGUGCAUCGUUUGUUUUGUGUUUAGGAACUUUGUAACAUUUAGCAUUUUCCAAAAUAAACUACAUAAUCACAACAAAGACAUACUCUUUUAACAAAAUACAGGGCUAAGAGCAUACAUUUUAAUAAGAUAAAAUUGGAAAAGCAUAAGGUAGAAGUAAAAAAUCUGUAACUUUUUGAAGAUGCAACAUACCAAAAUCUAAAAACCCUAUUCUCUACUAUUCAUUUCAAGUUCCCAAUUAUCAUUCAGAUAAAAAUAAAAACAUGAAAUUACACUUAUGAAAUAUCUCAAAACCAAAUCAACACUAACAUGCAAAUAAUACAACACAUAAAUCCCAACAAAAUUAAUUUUUUGCAAAUAAAAUAUAGAAAGAUCACAAAGGGGGAAAAAUGAAUUUUUUUAUGCAUACAGGAAAUUGAAUAAAAAUCUACCAUAAAAAUUGAAUAGAAAAUAAAAACACAAAAAAUUGAAGAAAUUGAAGAUUAUAUAUACCUAUCUUUGCCUUCAAUUUCUAAGAAAUUUUCACCAAAAGAACCUUCCACAGUUAAAUCAGCAUUCUCCUCUUCAGCACCAAAACUCCCCAAUUUUUCAACGGACGACGACGUGUUGCCAGAACAUUCUCGAAGUCUCGAAUUUCCGGCAGAGGCGUUCUCCCUGCGAGGUUGCGGCGGCGGAGGGAGUUUACGGAGGCGGCGACUGCGAAGUUCGAGGUAGGAAGAGGAGUCCAUAUGUUGCGGCGAGGCAAUCGG